rnacentral:rRNA from 1 species
CACGUAGGCACCAAGCGUUGUCCGGAUUUAUUGGGCGUAAAGAGCUCGUAGGCGGUUCGGUAAGUCGGGUGUGAAAACUUUGGGCUCAACCCAAAGACUGCACCCGAUACUGCUGUGACUUGAGUCCGGUAGGGGAGUGGGGAAUUCCUGGUGUAGCGGUGAAAUGCGCAGAUAUCAGGAGGAACACCGGUGGCGAAGGCGGGUCUCUGGGCAGUAACUGACGCUGAGGAACGAAAGCGUGGGUAGCGAACAGG